UAAGCAUAUCAAUAAGCGGAGGAAAAGAAACCCAACCGGGAUUGCCCUAGUAACGGCGAGUGAAGCGGCAAGAGCUCAAAUUUGAAAGCUGGCCCCUGCGGGGUCCGCGUUGUAAUUUGCAGAGGAUGCUUCGGGAGCGGUCCCCAUCUAAGUGCCCUGGAACGGGCCGUCAUAGAGGGUGAGAAUCCCGUAUGGGAUGGGGUGCCCGCGCCCGUGUGAAGCUCCUUCGACGAGUCGAGUUGUUUGGGAAUGCAGCUCUAAUUGGGUGGUAAAUUUCAUCUAAAGCUAAAUAUUGGCCGGAGACCGAUAGCGCACAAGUAGAGUGAUCGAAAGAUGAAAAGCACUUUGAAAAGAGAGUUAAACAGCACGUGAAAUUGUUGAAAGGGAAGCGCUUGCGAUCAGACUCGCUCCCGGGGUUCAGCCGGCAUUCGUGCCGGUGUACUUCCCCGGGGGCGGGCCAGCGUCGGUUUGGGCGGCCGGUCAAAGGCCCCUGGAAUGUAACGCCUCUCGGGGCGUCUUAUAGCCAGGGGUGCCAUGCGGCCUGCCCGGACCGAGGAACGCGCUUCGGCUCGGACGCUGGCAUAAUGGUCGUAAGCGACCCGUCUUGAAACACGGACCAAGGAGUCUAACAUCUACGCGAGUGUUCGGGUGUCAAACCCGUGCGCGCAGUGAAAGCGAACGGAGGUGGGAACCCCCCGGGGUGCACCAUCGACCGAUCCUGAUGUCUUCGGAUGGAUUUGAGUAAGAGCGUAGCUGUUGGGACCCGAAAGAUGGUGAACUAUGCCUGAAUAGGGCGAAGCCAGAGGAAACUCUGGUGGAGGCUCGCAGCGGUUCUGACGUGCAAAUCGAUCGUCAAAUUUGGGUAUAGGG
rnacentral:rRNA from 1 species